rnacentral:rRNA from 1 species
AGAGUUUGAUCCUGGCUCAGGAUGAACGCCGGCGGUGUGCCUAAUACAUGCAAGUCGUACGCACUGGCCCAACUGAUUGAUGGUGCUUGCACCUGAUUGACGUUGGAUCACCAGUGAGUGGCGGACGGGUGAGUAACACGUAGGUAACCUGCCCCGGAGCGGGGGAUAACAUUUGGAAACAGAUGCUAAUACCGCAUAACAACAAAAGCCGCAUGGCUUUUGUUUGAAAGAUGGCUUUGGCUAUCACUCUGGGAUGGACCUGCGGUGCAUUAGCUAGUUGGUAAGGUAACGGCUUACCAAGGCGAUGAUGCAUAGCCGAGUUGAGAGACUGAUCGGCCACAAUGGAACUGAGACACGGUCCAUACUCCUACGGGAGGCAGCAGUAGGGAAUCUUCCACAAUGGGCGCAAGCCUGAUGGAGCAACACCGCGUGAGUGAAGAAGGGUUUCGGCUCGUAAAGCUCUGUUGUUGGAGAAGAACGUGCGUGAGAGUAACUGUUUACGCAGUGACGGUAUCCAACCAGAAAGUCACGGCUAACUACGUGCCAGCAGCCGCGGUAAUACGUAGGUGGCAAGCGUUAUCCGGAUUUAUUGGGCGUAAAGCGAGCGCAGGCGGUUGCUUAGGUCUGAUGUGAAAGCCUUCGGCUUAACCGAAGAAGUGCAUCGGAAACCGGGCGACUUGAGUGCAGAAGAGGACAGUGGAACUCCAUGUGUAGCGGUGGAAUGCGUAGAUAUAUGGAAGAACACCAGUGGCGAAGGCGGCUGUCUGGUCUGCAACUGACGCUGAGGCUCGAAAGCAUGGGUAGCGAACAAGAUUAGAUACCCUGGUAGUCCAUGCCGUAAACGA